rnacentral:sRNA from 1 species
UAACCCCUCACUGAAGUGAGGGGCUUGGAGCGCAAGCUUCAAGCCUCAAUAUCUUUGUGGGGUGUUCCGGAGAAAUCCGGAACUCAUUGUCUAGACUAAGCUUUCCAGUCGGCUUCGGCUGGCAGGAAAAAGGAACUACGUUAUCUUUGUUAUCACACCAUGGGAUGAUGCUCUAGUCCCAUGCGCUG